CCCUUAGAUGUUCUGGGCCGCACGCGUGCUACGCCGAGUGGAUCAGCGGGUCAGGUUGCGCGAAAGCGUUUCCUAAUCUUUAAAUCCGCUCGUGAUGGGGAUUGACGGUUGCAAUUUUCUGUCAUGAACGAGGAAUACCUUGUAAGCGCGGGUCAUCAUCCCGCGCUGAAUACGUCCCUGCCCUUUGUACACACCGCCCGUCGCUCCUACCGAUUGAGUGGUCCGGUGAGGCUUUGGGAUCUGAGCGGAAAGAGCGUUUCGCUGUUUCUGCUCGGAAAACUCAGUCGAACCUUAUCAUUUAGAGGAAGGAGAAGUCGUAACA
rnacentral:rRNA from 1 species